UACAGAGGUCUCAAGCGUUGUUCGGAUUCAUUGGGCGUAAAGGGUGCGUAGGUGGCGCUGUAAGUCGGGUGUGAAAUUUCGGAGCUUAACUCCGAAACUGCAUUCGAUACUGCGGUGCUUGAGGACUGGAGAGGAGACUGGAAUUCAUGGUGUAGCAGUGAAAUGCGUAGAGAUGUGGAGGAACACCGAUGGCGAAGGCAGCCUUCUGGGCCAACACUGACGCUCAUGCACGAAAGCGUGGGGAGCAAACAGG
rnacentral:rRNA from 1 species